UAGGGAAUCUUCCGCAAUGGACGAAAGUCUGACGGAGCAACGCCGCGUGAGCGAAGAAGGCCUUCGGGUCGUAAAGCUCUGUUGUUAGGGAAGAACAAGUAUCGGAGUAACUGCCGGUACCUUGACGGUACCUAACCAGAAAGCCACGGCUAACUACGUGCCAGCAGCCGCGGUAAUACGUAGGUGGCAAGCGUUGUCCGGAAUUAUUGGGCGUAAAGCGCGUCGCAGGCGGUCCUUUAAGUCUGAUGUGAAAGCCCACGGCUCAACCGUGGAGGGUCAUUGGAAACUGGGGGACUUGAGUGCAGAAGAGGAGAGUGGAAUUCCACGUGUAGCGGUGAAAUGCGUAGAGAUGUGGAGGAACACCAGUGGCGAAGGCGACUCUCUGGUCUGUAACUGACGCUGAGGCGCGAAAGCGUGGGGAGCAAACAGGAUUAGGAUACCCUGGUAGUCCACGCCGUAAACGGAUGAGUGCUAAGUGUUAGAGGGUUUCCGCCC
rnacentral:rRNA from 1 species